AUUGAACGCUGGCGGCAGGCCUAACACAUGCAAGUCGAGCGAGCGGCGGAAGGGUGAGUAAUGUAUGGGGACUGCCCGAUAGAGAGGGAUAACUACUGGAAACGGUUGCUAAUACCGUAUACUAUCGGCUAACGCAUAUGGGAUUGGCUAGUUGGUGAGGGAAUGGCUCACCAAGGCUACGAUCCCUCGCUGGUGUGUGAGGGUGAUCAGCCACACUGGGGCUGAGACACGGCCCAGACUCCUACGGAGGCAGCAGUGGGGAAUAUUGCACAAUGGGCGCAAGUCUGAUACAGCCAUGCCGCGUGUGUGAAGAAGGCCCUAGGGUUGUAAAGUACUGUCAGUCAGGAAGCGUUACCGACAGAAGAAGCAACGGCUAACUCCGUGCCAGCAGCCGCGGUAAUAC
rnacentral:rRNA from 1 species